CGCUCGUGGCAGCUGCUAUUCAUAGCUUGCUUGUUUCUGUAGCGUUGCUAAGUUGUUAGGUGGUGAUCCACACUUUCCCCAAGUCUCUCCCUGAGUCUUGCUGUUCUUUUGCUUUAGGGGAAUGAACUGUGUGACACUUAGCGGGACGGUGUCGAUGCAUGCUCCUAUGUCCAGAUCUGCUCACCCGGGGAAAGCGUCUUCCCAGGCUUCACGAGACCGCCGUGGGGUCUGAGCGGAAGCUAACGAGAGGCGUUUAGCAUGGCACAGGCUGGCAGGGAUGCCCACGGCCGCGGGAGGGACCCACGGCGAGGCAGCAGGGAUGCCGUAAAGCCAUAGUCUCGGGACCAGGUGUCUGCCACACUAUCGGUGACCGCAUCACUUCCUUUCUGAUACUGGAGAUUUUAUCAUUUAGGGAUGGCAAGUUAAGAUACUUUUAUUGAAUGAACUUCCUGCUAAGUUUCUGAGCCGUGGCUGGGUUUAUGACAUAAUUGCUCUACAUGUUGAUACCAUCUUUUAUCGUAAUUGUUUUCCAUUGUUUUUAAUAAAAGGAUAAAAAUAAUAGGAGACAUUUUAGAAAGUGGGGUUUUUUUUGUUCUAUUAUUCAUGAUACUAAAAAUUACCCAAAAUAAGAUAUUUUGCAAAAAAGGAUUUUGUUCCAAAAGUGACUAAUUUAAAUCAGUUUAUACAAUGAACUUGCUAAUGAUCCUCAGUCUCGAGGAGUGUAAUGCUUUUAUACUGUUAUCAUUUUUUAUGAAUAGAAUUAUACAAAAAGUUCCUAUUGUGUUGUACAGUGAGUUUCACACAACCAUCCUUUAUCAACAGAUGGCAACCGGCACAUGAAAAAUAAUUAAAAAAUAAAAUGAAAAGAAACCGAGAAUGAAUUAAAGUGCUUCUUUGCGUUCUGAUCUGCAUUUUUGGUUUAGAAUUUUUAUGGUGAAUUGCCAUAUUAUCUGUUAUAUCAGUUUACAAUGAGGCUCCUAUCAGACAUAAAACAGAUUUAUAAUACCAUUAAAAUACAAUAUCAAAGAAUGAAUAAGCAAUUCAAUAAAAUUACAAUAACACAAAGAUAAAAUGAAAGCCUUUUCAAUAACAGUUUUAUGCAAGAACAUUUUGCAGAUAAAUAUGUGUUUAUAGAUCUUUUAAAUGUACAUUUAUUAUACUGUUCCUAAUAGAGCCACAGGGGUUAAUUUUUCCUGUGUGUUGUCUUUUAUAAGUGGUUUAAAAGCUAGCUGCAAAACUCUUCAAUAGAUUGUUUUGAAUCUUUGAAUUGAUUUUGGUAAAGGGAGCUUUUACAGUCCUGCAGGCGAAUGUUCGCACACAAACGAGUCAAUAUGGCUGGGGGUGGGAAUCUGGGGGGAGCCCCACGCCACCGCCGCCGCCGCCACCUGGGACCCGGGCACGGAGGAGACGCGGAGGGAAAAGUUUAUACGUGAACUUGAAUCUGAUGGUCUUCCCACCCCGGAUGUUCAGGUCUGGUUUCCGGAAGGAAAGUUGAAAGAAAAAAAAAAAAAAAAGAAAAGAAAAGAAAAAAAGCCAAGGAUGACAAGUCACCCUCCUUGGAAGUCCCAGGGCAGCUCCUUAGCUGCGGUCCCUGGGCUGGCGAGGAGAGGCUGCUGCUGCUGGAGGCUGUGCUCUGCACUUUGUGUCCUGCUGUUCUCCCCACACCUGGCUUGCGUCUUAAUUAAGCAUCCUGUUUACUUCCUUUGUCUUUAAUUUUAGCUGGGAGUUCCCCAGGCCUGCUGUGAUCCUUGCCAUGCUUGGCCAGUAGGGUCAGUGUGGCAGGAAAUUUGGGGGGAAAGGAUGUGAGGCUCAGGAGACCUUGCGGGCAGGUCUGCAUCCCCAGCAGGGCCCGGGGACCAGGGUGAAGUCAAGUGUCCCCUCCCGCCUGGUGUUUCUCUCCAUCCGGAGUGUCCCCCCCGCCAAGGGUCCCGCCGUGGCUGGUGGCUGGGACAGAUCCCACCCUGGCUCUGGUGCGGUGGGGCUGGAAUCCCUGGCAUUGCGGUGGCCUGCGUUUGGACCACAAAUACCUGUGCUUCGGGCCCCCUCCUGGGCAGCUGGAGGGCUUGGGGACUGGGCUCUGCUCCGGCUGGGGUGGGGCAAUGCCCUGAGAGAGGUGCCCGGGAAACUAGGAAAAGGAGCUCAGGUUGGAGUUUAUGGAGGGGUUAAAAACAAACAAACAAACAAACAAAUACAGCCCUGAAAAACCUAAGGAGAGAAUUUUGUCCCUAGAAAAAAGUCUCUGAGCCUAAAUUUAAACUCCUGUAGUUCUCUCUUUGUUGUAAUUCCUCUGCAGAUCGCUGGCAUCCUCUGCCUCCGGAAUGAUAGAAGGUGCCAGGCCCUUAGAGGUGGCUUGGUAUACCGUAGGUAAUAUCGGCUGCGGUAGAAAAUAAAAAGCAAGUGGACGAUCUUUGGCUCGAGCAUAUGCUGCUCAAAUGAUUGAGACGCAAAGCAGGGAGAGGACCAGAAAGGCCCUUCCUUCGAAAAUUUUAGUGCACGACACAGCGGCUGCUGCAAAUAGCACCAUUUCCCCAGCCCAGGCUGUUUGAUUGCACGAGGCUUGAUUGCAUCAUUAGUCCUGAAGUGCUGUGCUCACUGAAACACACCAGCAUCUUGGACAUUAAAGUGGCAUCCUGUUGUGUAUGAGGAGAGGCCUCACACACACCACUUCAUCUUGCAAACCUGCCUUUUCCCCAGAGUCUCGGAGCAGCAUUAGACCGACCGGAGGAGGAAGUCUAAUUUUAUAUAGCAGCAAUUAUUACACCUUGCCACUCUCUUCUAAGUUGCCACUUGAUUAGUGCUGAAUGGGUAAAAGUGACAAAACCCUUCUCUAUGGGAAAAAA